rnacentral:rRNA from 1 species
UACGUAGGGGCCGAGCGUUGUCCGGAGUUAUUGGGCGUAAAGCGCGCGCAGGCGGCUUCGCGCGUCCGACGUGAAAGCCCCCCGGCUCAACCGGGGAGGGUCGUUGGGUACGGCGGAGCUUGAGGGCGGUAGAGGUUGGUGGAAUUCCCGGUGUAGUGGUGAAAUGCGUAGAGAUCGGGAGGAACACCUGUGGCGAAGGCGGCCAACUGGGCCGACCCUGACGCUGAGGCGCGAAGGCGUGGGGAGCGAACGGG